rnacentral:lncRNA from 1 species
GGGGUCUAAUUGGGUUAGAUCAUGUUUGCAAAAUACACAUGCUAGCAUAUGUUGCAAAUCCUAGCUCCUUGUUUCGAAUCGGGUUCAAAAUUGAUUCUAAUUUAGGCUGAUUAAAUCUAAAUUAAUUCAAACUAAUUUUAGGUUUGAGUUAGGUCAACCCAUGGCUGGUUGAACCAGAGAUGUGGUGCCAUAUAACUAGGUCCCCAGAGAUUUUUUUUCUUGCGUGUGGGCUGUGUUUUGUGCGCAAAAGACCAAAUGGCAUCCCAUGAGAUGGGAUGCCCCUUCCUCAUCCUUAUCCAUUGUUUCCAUGCUAAAAAAAUUCUUGAAGAAUCAUGAGUUAAUUUUAGGCACAGAGGAGUCCUUCUGUGGUUAAAACAUUUCAUGGUUUAAUCAUAAAAAUUGGUUAAAAUUUGAAACCUAGCCAAAUCUAUCCAUACACGUAACCAAGAGUCCAUGAUGUUAAGGAAUCUUAGCUAAUCGUCAUGCCUCAUCUAAUCUCAGAUUUUUUUUUACACACCAUCUCCAAGUUAGUGCCUCAAUUAUGGACUCUUGGAUGGCCAAAAUGUGCUAAUGUGUGGUGGAGAAAAAAUAUG